UACGGUCAGUCGUUAAAUGGACAACAAAAUAAAUCAAUCAAGAAACAAACUAUCUGGUAAGAAAACUGUAUGGCAAUGGUUCAUACAAUGUUGGACCGAUACCCCUUCGCUCGGCUCAAAACCGGAGAGCAUAAGGAUUAUUAGGGCGCCAGGGUUGCGUUGGACAAAUUAGGGACUACUAGAAAUGAAAAAGAGGUGAAUGUUUGAGUGGGUGUUGUGGGGUUUUACCGGAGAUCUCUUACAGAUUGCGUAUGUCGUGAUUACUUCACAAUAUGUUUUGUGUUGGAUGAUUAAUGAGGACUCGGUGAAGGUUACCAAACGACGGUGUUGG